GUCAAUGGGACACCUCUGAUCUUUCUGGGCCAAAGACAAACAGUAACCUUUCAUCACUUGCUUAGACUUGGUAAAAAGAAUUAAGGGGGCGCACUCCCAUCCAUUUCUGAGAGAAAGCUGUACCUUCUAAAAUAUUAGAAAGAUUUUUGUGUAAAAUUUCUGAUGCGCAGCUGCUCUGGGACUGCUCAGGCAGCCGACAGUCCUCCAGCGGCACGACUUCUGAUGUCAUUUGCGUAGCAACAUUAUGACGUGGCUCCGCCUCCUCCUCAUCGUUGGUCCUACUUCCAUGCGGGUUUCGGCUCACUAACGCUGGCGGAAAUGAGGACAGGAAUCCAAGCUGGUUCCUCUUCUUUCUUCACAGACUGGUCCACACUGCUGAGCUGGCUGGGUUUAUAUUGAACUGAAGAUUCCCGCCGUGGAGGUUAAGAGCCAAUCAGAAACCGAUCCAAUCUGCCCAGCAGCAGCCGGCACUGUAACUUGGCACCACACCUCCUAGGUUCAGCAUUCCGUUUCAGUAUGGAUUACUAUAUUACUGUCGUCUCAAACCCUUCCCGCAAUCCUGUUCGGCUACAGACGACAGCUGAUCACAGGGGGCCUUACUUCUUCCUGACCUCCCUGACCAAGCUAGCCCUCUGAUGACGUGUGCUCUCUAUCUGGACAUCCCGAAUUGCCAGCAUUCACUGCGUCCCCGCAUAUUGCAGACUGCCGAGAUCACGUGACGUCAGCAAGUCCCUGUCCAACCCUGCCUACAGAAUCCAGGAUUUGAAAUUGUAGAA